CACUGCCUACGGUGGCUGGCCUGAGUUCUACAUUGUGGCAGUAGUGGUGGUUGGCAUCCAGAUUCAUUAAUCCUACUGUCCACGGUGUAAUAUAAAUAGGAAUGUCAUGACAUUAAUAUACUGUGGAGAGGGAGAAGGGGGAGAGAUGGAGGUGAUAACUGAAUUACAAUGGCUGAGAGGGGAGAUAUACCCCCAUCCUAAGUCUGCCUGCCUCAAAUACUUCUGCUUUUUUCACUGCAUGCUCCAGAGUUAA
rnacentral:lncRNA from 1 species